CAAGGAGUCUCUGUACCCUGCCUUGUCUGCCUGGGCAAGGCUACUAGGGAUGUCAUGCUGGCAAUGACUUCAAUAGUGGUCUAACGUAAAAUGUCUUGUGGUCCUCUCAGUCCCUGAGAAAGUAGUGUUCCCACAGGCCUAUUAUGCAAAAGCUGGCUACCACCAUCAUUAUUCCUAAUGAGCAAAAGUACCACUGUUUUUAGGCUGACCAUAGAGGUACCUAUAGAAGUAGGGCAGUGCUAGCAAGCUGGUCAUCUCUACUGUUGUACAGGAUUAGGCACCUAAAAUCUACUGAAAUCCCAUCUUUCAGAUCUAUUGGAAUCUUAAUCUGGAUGUAGGAAAUUAUAUACAGCCCCAGCUGUUUCUCCAGGUAUGCUGAAGUGCCCUGACACGUGGUAGCAGGCAAUAUUUUCAUGAAAACAAUCCUUGCUUGGAAACAACUUGAAGAUCGGUCAGAUGGCCAUCCUCCUUUCAGCUCACCAGACUUCAGCUAACACCCUGUUCUCCACUGCAGCAACAAACUGAGUAACACUAAGAAGAAACAGCAUGAGGUGCUUCUAAGGGACUAUCACAAAACAGCAGGAUCUGUCACAGGCAAACUAAGAAACAACUACCAGCUACAAGGUGCAAGCUAAGCAACAUAAAUACACAGAAUAAGCUUAGAAAGGAGAUAAAAGAGGAAUACGUGGGUCCCCUGAGCCUAUUUUUUCUGCAGAUGGCCAGAGGGAAGCAGAGAGCGCAGUAUUUGUGGGACUGGAAAAAGAGAGCAGCAGAGAGCACGAGUACACAACCUUGCAGCUUGGGUAUUGACCUGGGAGUGUGUGCAGACUGGAUUUCGGGUCCCUCUGAGGGUGCCUACGUCCUUUUU
rnacentral:lncRNA from 1 species